CGUCAACUUGUGAACUGCAGGACACAUGAACAUCGACAUUUCGAACGCACAUUGCGGUCCUCGGAUACUGUUCCCGGACCACUCCUGGCUGAGGGUCGUAU
rnacentral:rRNA from 2 species